ensembl:misc_RNA Y_RNA Y RNA
GGCUGGUCCAAGUGCAGUGAUAUUUACAACAAAUUGAUCACAAGUUAACAGAUUUAUUUGUUCCUCUUCCACUCCUACUAUUUCACUUGACUAGCCUUAA